rnacentral:piRNA from 1 species
UGAUGACCCCUAGUGAAACGUUCAGUUUC